rnacentral:rRNA from 1 species
GAGUUUGAUCCUGGCUCAGGAUAAACGCUGGCGGCGUGCAUGAGACAUGCAAGUCGAACGGACGAUCAGGGCUUGCUCUGAUCGUUAGUGGCGGACGGCUGAGUAACGCGUAGGUGACCUGCCCCGAAGUGGGGAAUAACUGCCCGAAAGGGUGGCUAAUACCGCAUGUGGUGGUGUGUUCAUUCACACCAGUAAAGCCGCAAGGCGCUUCGGGAGGGGCCUGCGUCCGAUUAGCUCGUUGGUGGGGUAACGGCUCACCAAGGCGACGAUCGGUAGGUGGUCUGAGAGGACGAUCACCCAGACUGGGACUGAGACACGGCCCAGACUCCUACGGGAGGCAGCAGUCGGGAAUUUUGCGCAAUGGACGAAAGUCUGACGCAGCAACGCCGCGUGAGGGAUGAAGGCCUCGG